rnacentral:rRNA from 1 species
CCUACGGGUGGCUGCAGUGGGGAAUAUUGCACAAUGGGCGCAGGCCUGAUGCAGCCAUGCCGCGUGUGUGAAGAAGGCCUUCGGGUUGUAAAGCACUUUCAGCGGGGAGGAAGGCGUUAAGGUUAAUAACCUUGUCGAUUGACGUUACCCGCAGAAGAAGCACCGGCUAACUCCGUGCCAGCAGCCGCGGUAAUACGGAGGGUGCAAGCGUUAAUCGGAAUUACUGGGCGUAAAGCGCACGCAGGCGGUCUGUCAAGUCGGAUGUGAAAUCCCCGGGCUCAACCUGGGAACUGCAUUCGAAACUGGCAGGCUAGAGUCUUGUAGAGGGGGGUAGAAUUCCAGGUGUAGCGGUGAAAUGCGUAGAGAUCUGGAGGAAUACCGGUGGCGAAGGCGGCCCCCUGGACAAAGACUGACGCUCAGGUGCGAAAGCGUGGGGAGCAAACAGGAUUAGAUACCCCUGUAGUC